AUUGAACGCUGGCGGCAGGCCUAACACAUGCAAGUCGAACGGUAACAGGAAGAAGCUUGCUUCUUUGCUGACGAGUGGCGGACGGGUGAGUAAUGUCUGGGAAACUGCCUGAUGGAGGGGGAUAACUACUGGAAACGGUAGCUAAUACCGCAUAACGUCGCAAGACCAAAGAGGGGGACCUUCGGGCCUCUUGCCAUCGGAUGUGCCCAGAUGGGAUUAGCUAGUAGGUGGGGUAACGGCUCACCUAGGCGACGAUCCCUAGCUGGUCUGAGAGGAUGACCAGCCACACUGGAACUGAGACACGGUUCAGACUCCUACGGGAGGCAGCAGUGGGGAAUAUUGCACAAUGGGCGCAAGCCUGAUGCAGCCAUGCCGCGUGUAUGAAGAAGGCCUUCGGGUUGUAAAGUACUUUCAGCGGGGAGGAAGGGAGUAAAGUUAGUACCUUUGCUCAUUGACGUUACCCGCAGAAGAAGCACCGGCUAACUCCGUGCCAGCAACCGCGGUAAUACGGAGGGUGCAAGCGUUAAUCGGAAUUACUGGGCGUAAAGCGCACGCAGGCGGUUUGUUAAGUCAGAUGUGAAAUCCCCGGGCUCAACCUGGGAACUGCAUCUGAUACUGGCAAGCUUGAGUCUCGUAGAGGGGGGUAGAAUUCCAGGUGUAGCGGUGAAAUGCGUAGAGAUCUGGAGGAAUACCGGUGGCGAAGGCGGCCCCCUGGACGAAGACUGACGCUCAGGUGCGAAAGCGUGGGGAGCAAACAGGAUUAGAUACCCUGGUAGUCCACGCCGUAAACGAUGUCGACUUGGAGGUUGUGCCCUUGAGGCGUGGCUUCCGGAGCUAACGCGUUAAGUCGACCGCCUGGGGAGUACGGCCGCAAGGUUAAAACUCAAAUGACUUGACGGGGGCCCGCACAAGCGGUGGAGCAUGUGGUCUAAUUCGAUGCAACGCGAAGAACCUUACCUGGUCUUGACAUCCACGGAAGUUUUCAGAGAUGAGAAUGUGCCUCCGGGAACCGUGAGACAGGUGCUGCAUGGCUGUCGUCAGCUCGUGUUGUGAAAUGUUGGGUUAAGUCCCGCAACGAGCGCAACCCUUAUCCUUUGUUGCCAGCGGUCCGGCCGGGAACUCAAAGGAGACUGCCAGUGAUAAACUGGAGGAAGGUGGGGAUGACGUCAAGUCAUCAUGGCCCUUACGACCAGGGCUACACACGUGCUACAAUGGCGCAUACAAAGAGAAGCGACCUCGCGAGAGCAAGCGGACCUCAUAAAGUGCGUCGUAGUCCGGAUUGGAGUCUGCAACUCGACUCCAUGAAGUCGGAAUCGCUAGUAAUCGUGGAUCAGAAUGCCACGGUGAAUACGUUCCCGGGCCU
rnacentral:rRNA from 1 species